UCACCUCAGGUGGUGGUGGCAACACCUGGAGCUGGACUUUGGUGACCUCAGGUGGAGGUGGCAGCACCUGGAGCUGCACUCUGGUGACACCUGAGGGUGGUGGCAGCGCUUGGAGCUGGACAUUGGUCACCUCAGGUGGUGGUGGCAACACCUGGAGCUGGACUUUGGUCACCUCGGAGGGCGCUGGCAGCACCUGGAGCUGCAGCCCUUUGACACCUGUGACACCUGUGACACCUGUGACACCUGGCACCCCUGUCACACCCGGGAUACCUGGCACCCCUGUCAUACCUGUCACCCCUGUCAUUCCUGUCAUACCUGUCACCCCUGUCACCUCGGUGGCCUGGAGCUGCACCCCUGUGACACCUGCAACACCUGUCACACCUGUGACACCAGUCACAGCUGUCACACUUCUCACCCCUGUGACACCCGUGACACCUGUCACACCUGUCACACCUGGGACACCUAGGACACUCGUCACCCCUGCCCCCUCUGUUACACCUGUCACCUCCCUGCCCUGCACCUGGACGUUGGUGACCUCCGGCAACACCUGGAGCUGCACACCUGGCACACCUGUGACACCUGGCACCCCUGCCACACCUGUCACCUCAGUGGCCUGGAGCUGCACACCUGGCACCCCUGUCACACUUGUGACACCUGUUACCCUGGUCACACCUGCCACACCUGGAACAGCUGUCACCCCUGUCACGCCUGUCCCCUCCCCCCCCCGCACCUGGAUGUUGGUGACCUCCGGCAACACCUGGAGCUGCACACCCGGGACACCUGUGAUCCCUGUGACACCUGUCACUUCGGUGGCCUGGAGCUGCACACCUGUAACACCUGUCCCACCUGCCACACCUGUCCCACCUGCCACACCUGUGACCCCUGAUACACCUGGAGCACCUGUGACCCCUGCCACACCUGUCACCUCGGUGGCCUGGAGGAGCUGCACACCUGCCAUGCCUGCCCCACCCGUCACACCUGCGACCCCUGCCACACCUGUCGCCACCCCUGCCGCCUCAGCCACCUGUACUUGCACACCUGUGGGCCCCAUCCCGCCC
rnacentral:lncRNA from 1 species